rnacentral:rRNA from 1 species
UAGGGAAACUUCCGCAAUGGACGAAAGUCUGACGGAGCAACGCCGCUUGAGUGAAGAAGGAUUUCGGUUCGUAAAACUCUGUUGUUAGGGAAGAAAAAAUGUAUAGUAACUAUAUACAAAAGAGACGGUACCUAACCAGAAAGCCACGGCUAACUACGUGCCAGCAGCCGCGGUAAUACGUAGGUGGCAAGCGUUGUCCGGAAUUAUCAGGCGUAAAGCGCGCGCAGGUGGUUUAGAAAGUCUGAUGUGAAAGCCCACGGCUCAACCGUGGAGGGUGAGUGGAAAAUAAUAAACUUGAGUGCAGGAGAGAAAAGUGGAAUUCCUAGUGUAGCAGGGAAAUGCGUAGAGAGUAGGAGGAACAACGGUGGCGAAAGCGGCUUUGUGGCCUGAAAAUGAACCUGAGGCGCGAAAGCGUGGGGAGCAAAAAGG